AUGUGAGAAAGUGAUGCUUUGUAAUCUUUAAUAAUGUCUUCCUUCAUAUUUCUGCAGAGUAUAAAAGAAGAAGAUAGAUAAUCUGUAACUUUUUUUGUGUCUCUUGGGUAUUCAAAGUUGCAAUUGGUUAUAAAAAAUGCUGUUUGUCCUUAUUUAUUUUGAAAACCAUGUUCUACUUUCACUAUUGGAUGAUAUUUGGUAGACUUGUGCAUUUAAUACAUUGGCACAGAAACACAUUGCCGUUGGAUGGUGGGUUGUGGGGCAUUUAGAGCUCAUUGAUUUGGUUUUUGCAAAGUCUUACAGUGCGUGCAGAGAUAUGGUUAGAGGUAAUGCCUAGAUUCAUUUAUCCUCAAAAUUUAAGCAGCAGUUUUCCUGUACUCCAGCUGGUAUUCCAGAUAUGCCUUCUGAUAUUUUAAUUUG